GUAGGAGGCAAGCGUUAUCCGGAUUUACUGGGCGUAAAGCGCGUGCAGGGCGGUUUGGUAAGUCGGACGUGAAAGCUCCCGGGCUCAACUGGGAGAGGCCGUUCGAAACUACCAGGACUAGAGGGCAGCAGAGGGAAGUGGAAUUCCAGGUGUAGCGGUGAGAUGCGUAGAUAUCUGGAGGAACACCAGUGGCGAAGGCGGCUUCCUGGACUGUCCCUGACGCUAAGACGCGAAAGCUAGGGGAGCGAACGGGAUUAGAAACCCCGGUAGUCCUAGCUGUAAACGAUGCACACUUGGUGUUGGUGGCGUAAAAACCAUCAGUGCCGCAGCUAACGCGAUAAGUGUGCCGCCUGGGGACUACGGUCGCAAAGGCUA
rnacentral:rRNA from 1 species